rnacentral:rRNA from 1 species
GAGUUUGAUUCUGGCUCAGAUUGAACGCUGGCGGCAUGCUUUACACAUGCAAGUCGGACGGCAGCACAGAGAAGCUUGCUUCUUGGGUGGCGAGUGGCGAACGGGUGAGUAACGCAUCGGAACGUACCGAGUAGUGGGGGAUAACUGUCCGAAAGGAUGGCUAAUACCGCAUACGCUUUGAGAAGGAAAGCGGGGGAUCUUCGGACCUCGCGCUAUUCGAGCGGCCGAUGUCUGAUUAGCUAGUUGGUGGGGUAAAGGCCUACCAAGGCGACGAUCAGUAGCGGGUCUGAGAGGAUGAUCCGCCACACUGGGACUGAGACACGGCCCAGACUCCUACGGGAGGCAGCAGUGGGGAAUUUUGGACAAUGGGCGCAAGCCUGAUCCAGCCAUGCCGCGUGUCUGAAGAAGGCCUUCGGGUUGUAAAGGACUUUUGUCAGGGAAGAAAAGCUUUGGGUUAAUACCCUGGAGUGAUGACGG